rnacentral:rRNA from 1 species
AACGAACGCUGGCGGCAUGCCUAACACAUGCAAGUCGAACGAGACCUUCGGGUCUAGUGGCGCACGGGUGCGUAACGCGUGGGAACCUGCCCUUAGGUUCGGAAUAACUCCCCGAAAGGGGUGCUAAUACCGGAUAAUGUCUUCGGACCAAAGAUUUAUCGCCUUUGGAUGGGCCCGCGUUGGAUUAGCUAGUUGGUAGGGUAAAAGCCUACCAAGGCGACGAUCCAUAGCUGGUCUGAGAGGAUGAUCAGCCACACUGGGACUGAGACACGGCCCAGACCCAGAGGGAGGGGGGGAGUGGGGAUUAUUGAAGAAGGGGCGAAGGCCUAACCCAGCAGGGCCGCGGGAGAGGGGAGGCCGUUGGGGUUGUAAAUCUUUUUUCCCCGGGAUGAAAAUGACGGUACCGGAAAAAUAAGCCCCGGCUAACUCCGUG